AGGGUUUGAUCCUGGCUCAGGACGAACGCUGGCGGUGCGCCUUAUGCAUGCAAGUCGAGCGAAGCUUUUCAGUAGUUUACUACAGAAAAUGACUGAGCGGCGAACGGGUGAGUAACGCGUGAGCAAUCUACCUUAGUUACAGGGAUAGCCCGAGGAAACUCGGAUUAAUACCUGAUAUUCUUUACAUUUCGCAUGAAAUCAAAAGGAAAGGUCAGCCGAACUAAGAUGAGCUCGCGUUCUAUCAGCUAGUUGGUGAGGUAAAAGCUCACCAAGGCAACGACGGAUAGCUGGUCUGAGAGGACGAUCAGCCACACUGGGACUGAGACACGGCCCAGACUCCUACGGGAGGCUGCAGCAGGGAAUAUUGCGCAAUGAGCGAAAGCUUGACGCAGCGACACCGCGUGUGGGAUGACGGAUCUAGGUUUGUAAACCACUUUCAGGAGGGAAGAAAAUGACGGUACCUCCACAAGAAGCCCCGGCCAACUACGUGCCAGCAGCCGCGGUAAUACGUAGGGGGCGAGCGUUGUCCGGAUUUAUUGGGCGUAAAGAGCUCGUAGGCGGUUCAACAAGUCGGUCGUAAAAGUUCAGGGCUCAACCCUGAAAUGUCGAUCGAUACUGUUGUGACUAGGAUACGGUAGAGGUGAGUGGAAUUCCGAGUGUAGCGGUGAAAUGCGUAGAUAUUCGGAGGAACACCAAUUGCGAAGGCAGCUCACUGGGCCGCUAUCGACGCUGAGGAGCGAAAGCUAGGGGAGCAAACAGGAUUAGAUACCCUGGUAGUCCUAGCUGUAAACGAUGGAUACUAGACGUAGAACUGGAUUGACGGUUUCUGUGUCGUAGCUAACGCGUUAAGUAUCCCGCCUGGGGAGU
rnacentral:rRNA from 1 species